UACGAAGGGGGCUAGCGUUGCUCGGAAUCACUGGGCGUAAAGUGUGCGCAGGCGGCCGAGCAAGUCGAGUGUGAAAGCCCCGAGCUUAACUUGGGAACUGCGCUCGAAACUACUUGGCUAGAGUGUGGCAGAGGGAGGUGGAAUUCCACGUGUAGCGGUGAAAUGCGUAGAGAUGUGGAGGAACACCGAUGGCGAAGGCAGCCUCCUGGGCCAACACUGACGCUCAUGCACGAAAGCGUGGGGAGCAAACAGG
rnacentral:rRNA from 1 species